AGAAUCAACGCUGGCGGCGUGCCUAACACAUGCAAGUCGAACGAGAAAGUGGAGCAAUCCAUGAGUAAAGUGGCGACCGGGUGAGUAACACGUGACUAACCUACCUUCGAGUGGGGGAUAACCUCGGGAAACCGAGGCUAAUACCGCAUAACAUCGCAAGAUCAAAGCAGCAAUGCGCUGGAAGAGGGGGUCGCGGCUGAUUAGCUAGUUGGCGGGUAACGGCCCACCAAGGCGAAGAUCGGUAGCCGGCCUGAGAGGGCGCACGGCCACACUGGAACUGAAACACGGUCCAGACUCCUACGGGAGGCAGCAGUGGGGAAUUUUGCGCAAUGGGGGAAACCCUGACGCAGCAACGCCGCGUGGAGGAUGAAGCCCCUUGGGGCGUAAACUCCUUUCGACCAAGACGAUAAUGACGGUACUGGUGGAAGAAGCACCGGCUAACUCUGCGCCAGCAGCCGC
rnacentral:rRNA from 1 species